CGGAGAUUAGCGCAGUUGGUAGCGCGUCUGGUUUGGGACCAGAAGGUCCCGGGUUCGAGCCCCGGAUCUCCGACAA
rnacentral:tRNA from 1 species